rnacentral:rRNA from 1 species
UACGUAGGGGGCUAGCGUUGUCCGGAAUCAUUGGGCGUAAAGAGCGUGUAGGCGGCCCGGUAAGUCCGCUGUAAAAGUCAAAGGCUCAACCUUUGAAUGUCAGUGGAUACUGCCGGGCUAGAGUCCGGAAGAGGCGAGUGGAACUCCUGGUGUAGCGGUGGAAUGCGCAGAUAUCAGGAAGAACACCAACGGCGAAGGCAGCUCGCUGGGCCAGUUCUGACGCUGAGGAGCGAAAGCGUGGGGAGCGAACAGG